CACGUAGGGUGCGAGCGUUGUCCGGAAUUAUUGGGCGUAAAGAGCUCGUAGGCGGUGUGUCGCGUCGGCCGUGAAAACCUGCAGCUUAACUGUGGGCUUGCGGUCGAUACGGGCAUCACUGGAGUUCGGCAGGGGAGACUGGAAUUCCUGGUGUAGCGGUGAAAUGCGCAGAUAUCAGGAGGAACAUCGGUGGCGAAGGCGGGUCUCUGGGCCGAUACUGACGCUGAGGAGCGAAAGCGUGGGGAGCGAACAGG
rnacentral:rRNA from 1 species